UGCCAGCAGCCGCGGUAAUACGUAGGGUGCAAGCGUUAAUCGGAGUUACUGGGCGUAAAGCGUGCGCAGGCAGUUUUAUAAGUCAGAUGUGAAAUCCCCGAGCUCAACUUGGGAACUGCGUUUGAGACUGUAAGACUAGAGUGUGUCAGAGGGGGGUAGAAUUCCAAGUGUAGCAGUGAAAUGCGUAGAGAUUUGGAGGAAUACCAAUGGCGAAGGCAGCCCCCUGGGAUAACACUGACGCUCAUGCACGAAAGCGUGGGGAGCAAACAGGAUUAGAUA
rnacentral:rRNA from 1 species